rnacentral:rRNA from 1 species
GAUGAACGCUGGCGGCGUGCCUAAUACAUGCAAGUCGAGCGAACAGACGAGGAGCUUGCUCCUCUGACGUUAGCGGCGGACGGGUGAGUAACACGUGGAUAACCUACCUAUAAGACUGGGAUAACUUCGGGAAACCGGAGCUAAUACCGGAUAAUAUAUUGAACCGCAUGGUUCAAUAGUGAAAGACGGUUUUGCUGUCACUUAUAGAUGGAUCCGCGCCGCAUUAGCUAGUUGGUAAGGUAACGGCUUACCAAGGCAACGAUGCGUAGCCGACCUGAGAGGGUGAUCGGCCACACUGGAACUGAGACACGGUCCAGACUCCUACGGGAGGCAGCAGUAGGGAAUCUUCCGCAAUGGGCGAAAGCCUGACGGAGCAACGCCGCGUGAAUGAUGAAGGUCUUCGGAUCGUAAAACUCUGUUAUUAGGGAAGAACGAAUGUGUAAGUAACUAUGCACGUCUUGACGGUACCUAAUCAGAAAGCCACGGCUAACUACGUG